rnacentral:rRNA from 1 species
AACGUAGGAGACGAACGUUAUCCGGAGUUACUGGGCGUAAAGGGCGUGUAGGUGGUAGAGUAAGUCUGGCGUGAAAUUUUUCGGCUUAACCGGGAAAGGUCGUCGGAUACUGCUUAACUAGAGGACGGUAGAGGCGUGUGGAAUUCCGGGUGUAGUGGUGAAAUGCGUAGAGAUCCGGAGGAACACCAGUGGCGAAGGCGACACGCUGGGCCGUACCUGACACUGAUGCGCGACAGCAUGGGGAGCAAACAGG